CACGUAGUUAGCCGUGGCUUGCUCCUUAGUUACCGUCAUUAUUCUUCACUAAGAACAGGAGUUUACAAUCCGAAAACCGUCUUCCUUCACGCGGCGUUGCUGCAUCAGGCUUUCGCCCAUUGUGCAAUAUUCCCCACUGCUGCCUCCCGUAGGAGUCUGGGCCGUGUCUCAGUCCCAAUGUGGCCGUUCAACCUCUCAGUCCGGCUACUGAUCGUCGACUUGGUAGGCCGUUACCCCACAACUAUCUAAUCAGACGCGAGUCCAUCCUUAGGCGCCUCAGCUUUGGUAUAUCUACGAUGCCGUUAAUAUACUUUAUAUGGUAUUACCGUCCGUUUCCAGACGCUAUCCCUUUCCUAAGGGCAGGUUACUCACGCGUUACUCACCCGUCCGCCACUCAGUCAUAUCAGUAUUUCUUUACCGAAAGUAAAUCCAAUCAUUCAAGCUUCGUCGACUUGCAUGUGUUAGGCACGCCGCCAGCGUUCUCUGACGCGAGAUCAAACUCU
rnacentral:rRNA from 1 species